rnacentral:rRNA from 1 species
CCUACGGGCGGCAGCAGUAGGGAAUCUUUCACAAUGGGCGAAAGCCUGAUGGAGCAACGCCGCGUGCAGGAUGAAGGCCUUCGGGUUGUAAACUGCUUUUAUAAGCGAGAAAUAUGAUGGUAACUUAUGAAUAAGGAUCGUCUAACUACGUGCCAGCAGCCGCGGUCAUACGUAGGAUCCGAGCAUUAUCCGGAGUGACUGGGUGUAAAGAGUUGCGUAGGUGGCAUAAUAAGUAGCUAGUGAAAUCUGGUGGCUCAACCAUUCAGACUAUUAGCUAAACUGUUAAGCUCGAGACCGUUAGGGGUAACUGGAAUUUGUAGUGUAGGAGUGAAAUCCGUAGAUAUUAGAAGGAACACCAAUAGCGUAGGCAGGUUGCUGGGACGGUUCUGACACUAAGGCACGAAAGCGUAGGGAGCAAACGGGAUUAGAUACCCCUGUAGUC